rnacentral:rRNA from 1 species
AUUGAACGCUGGCGGCAUGCCUUACACAUGCAAGUCGAACGGCAGCGGGGACUUCGGUCCGCCGGCGAGUGGCGAACGGGUGAGUAAUGCAUCGGAACGUGCCUAUCAGUGGGGGAUAACGCUUCGAAAGGAGUGCUAAUACCGCAUAUUCUCCGAGGAGGAAAGCAGGGGACCUUCGGGCCUUGCGCUGAUAGAGCGGCCGAUGUCGGAUUAGCUAGUUGGUGAGGUAAAGGCUCACCAAGGCGACGAUCCGCAGCGGGUCUGAGAGGAUGAUCCGCCACACUGGGACUGAGACACGGCCCAGACUCCUACGGGAGGCAGCAGUGGGGAAUUUUGGACAAUGGGCGAAAGCCUGAUCCAGCCAUGCCGCGUGAGUGAAGAAGGCCUUCGGGUUGUAAAGCUCUUUUGUCCGGGAGGAAAUCCUGGCCUCUAAUACAGGUCGGGGAUGACAGUACUGGAAGAAUAAGCACCGGCUAACUACGUGCCAGCCGCCGCUGUAACAC